rfam:Streptococcus pyogenes M1 GAS, complete genome.
CUAGGAAAAAGGAUGCAAGUAUCUUAUCUAAAGCGAGUUCGGGGUAGUUAGAGCCGAAUGGUAGGACUGCAGAUUGGCGCUUCCGUUUGGGCAGUGUGAUUAAGUAUAUUUGUCAAUAUUGCCCAAAAAGAUACUAUAUAAAU